rnacentral:rRNA from 1 species
GAUGAACGCUGGCGGCGUGCCUAAUACAUGCAAGUCGAGCGAACGGACGAGAAGCUUGCUUCUCUGAUGUUAGCGGCGGACGGGUGAGUAACACGUGGAUAACCUACCUAUAAGACUGGGAUAACCUCGGGAAACCGGAGCUAAUACCGGAUAAUAUUUUGAACCGCAUGGUUCAAAAGUGAAAGGCGGUCUUGCUGUCACUUAUAGAUGGAUCCGCGCUGCAUUAGCUAGUUGGUAAGGUAACGGCUUACCAAGGCAACGAUGCAUAGCCGACCUGAGAGGGUGAUCGGCCACACUGGAACUGAGACACGGUCCAGACUCCUACGGGAGGCAGCAGUAGGGAAUCUUCCGCAAUGGGCGAAAGCCUGACGGAGCAACGCCGCGUGAGUGAUGAAGGUCUUCGGAUCGUAAAACUCUGUUAUUAGGGAAGAACAUAUGUGUAAGUAACUGUGCACAUCUUGACGGUACCUAAUCAGAAAGCCACGGCUAACUACGUG